UUCCUACGGGAGGCUGCAGUGGGGAAUAUUGCGCAAUGGGCGAAAGCCUGACGCAGCAACGCCGCGUGCGGGAUGACGGCCUUCGGGUUGUAAACCGCUUUCAGCAGGGACGAAGGGUUUCUGACGGUACCUGCAGAAGAAGCACCGGCUAACUACGUGCCAGCAGCCGCGGUGAUACGUAGGGUGCGAGCGUUGUCCGGAAUUAUUGGGCGUAAAGAGCUUGUAGGCGGUCCGUUGCGUCGGAAGUGAAAACUCGGGGCUUAACCCCGAGCCUGCUUUCGAUACGGGCGGACUUGAGGGAUGUAGGGGAGAACGGAAUUCCUGGUGGAGCGGUGGAAUGCGCAGAUAUCAGGAGGAACACCAGUGGCGAAGGCGGUUCUCUGGACAUUUCCUGACGCUGAGAAGCGAAAGCGUGGGGAGCAAACAGGAUUAGAUACCCCAGUAGUC
rnacentral:rRNA from 1 species